rnacentral:rRNA from 1 species
UUGAACGCUGGCGGCAUGCCUUACACAUGCAAGUCGAACGGCAGCACGGGUGCUUGCACCUGGUGGCGAGUGGCGAACGGGUGAGUAAUACAUCGGAACAUGUCCUGUAGUGGGGGAUAGCCCGGCGAAAGCCGGAUUAAUACCGCAUACGAUCUACGGAUGAAAGCGGGGGGCCUUCGGGCCUCGCGCUAUAGGGUUGGCCGAUGGCUGAUUAGCUAGUUGGUGGGGUAAAGGCCUACCAAGGCGACGAUCAGUAGCUGGUCUGAGAGGACGACCAGCCACACUGGGACUGAGACACGGCCCAGACUCCUACGGGAGGCAGCAGUGGGGAAUUUUGGACAAUGGGCGAAAGCCUGAUCCAGCAAUGCCGCGUGUGUGAAGAAGGCCUUCGGGUUGUAAAGCACUUUUGUCCGGAAAGAAAUCCUUGGCCCUAAUACGGUCGGGGGAUGACGGUACCGGAAGAAUAAGCACCGGCUAACUACGUG